AACGCCUUGAUAGACGGUUCAGGCCCCCUAAGAAGCUGUGUGGUACUUACAACAUCAACCGUACAAAGCAGCGCGAUGCUACGGUUACAAUUCUUCUUCGACUCUCGUGUGGUACAAGCUGGGUAAGUAUAUUUUUGCGUUAUUUUCUUAACCAUAAUCUAAUUCACUUUUAUUUUACUUACAGGUAAUCUAGGCGAUUAUUUUGGCAAUAAAUUCCAUAAAUUACACUCCUUGCUUGCUUACACGUAUUAAUAAACGAAAGAAAUAUCCAAA